GUGUUGGUGAAGUUGAUGAAUUGCUCAACCUCCUCGCUGGAGCACGAGGUGGCGCCACUGCAGUCAUCAAUGUGGCAGAGGAAGAGGUGGGGAGUGGUGCCGGUGUAACUACGGGGGAUGGACUGUUCUAAGUAGCCAACAAAGACACGCAUUGCUGGGGUCCUCCAACCAAUGGGUGUGAAUAUGGGGGCGGGACUGGAAGACCGAGCGCGUGAGGCUGGUCCUCCAACCAAUGGGAAUGAAUGAGGGGGCGGGCCUGGAGGACAGAGCUGCGUCGGAUGGUCCUCUAACCAAUGGGAGUGAACAAAGCGGUGGGGCUGGAGUACAGAGCGGCGGCGGUUGGUCCUCCAACCAAUGGGAGUGAAUGAGAGGGCGGGCAGACCUCGGUGCUCCGUCUUUGGCUGAUAACGCUGCAUCACUGCGUUUGCUCCAGCGCAUGCGUAGUAGUGACAGCGCCGCCGUCGGAAACAGUGGGGAAACCCCGCCUGAGGAAACGAGAAAGUUAUGCGGACUGAAAAAGUUACAGCAGCAAGAGAUAAUGUCCAUGGCUACGUGCAGUUUUGACAUUAACUGAUUAUCCAGUCUGGACUCACAGAAGGACAACAGCACCAUAGAAAAACCAUGGAAACAUGAAGACUGUGAUAAAGAUUUCAAUUAUCCAUCUGGAGACUCAUCGAUGUAGUCACACACAGGGGACAGCCCAUUCACUUGCUCUAUGUGUGGGAAGGGAUUUACUUAAUCAGGCGGCCUCAUGUUACACCAGGCGAUUUAUACUGCAGAGAGGGCUUUCAGCUGUGCUUCCUGUGGGAAGCGUUUCAGGCUUUUACGCAGCAAGUCCACACUUGGAAGAGGCCAUUUACCUGCUCUGUGUGUGGAAAGGGAUUCACCCGGUUAUCCAAUGCACUGCAACACCAGUGAAUUCACAUUGGGGAGAGGCCAUUCACCUGCUCCAUGUGUGGGAAGGGAUUCACUGAGUUGGGUCGGCUCAUGUUACACCAGCAGCUUCACACUGAGGAGAGGCCAUUCGCUUGCUCAGUGUGUGGGAAAGGUUUCACUCGAUCAAGUUGUCUCGCAUCACACCAGGGAGUUCAUACUGGGGACAGGCCCUUCAGCUGCAGGUUCUGUGGAAAUAGAUUCAGGCAGUCAUCCAAUCGCACGGAACCCGGCAGGUCCACACUGUAGGGCGACCACUCCCCUGCAUAUCCUGUGGAACCCCGCACUGUAGGGCGACCACUCCCCUGCAUAUCCUGUGGAACCCCACACUGUAGGGCGACCACUCCCCUGCAUAUCCUGUGGAAAGACGUCAGUUCAAUCUCAGCAUACACAAGCGAGUUCACAGCAGGGAGAAGCCAUUUGCCUGCUCCGUUUCUGGAAUGGGAUUUAUUCAGUCAACCAGCCUAUUAAGGCACCAGUGUGUUCACAGCAGUGAGAGGCUGCUCCCCUGCUUCACUUGUGGGAAGGGAUUUGCUACUUCAUCGAGCCAGCGAGGCCACACUGAAUAGAAGUUGUGAACUGCACUUCCGUUAACAAAGUUUCUGGCAGUUAUCCACCCUUGGUACAUACCAGUGAGUUUACACUGGGAAGAAGCUAACACUUAUGCGUGGGAAGGGAUUCAUUCAGUCACAAGAAUCUGCCUGGACACCCAGUGAAUACACGGGUGACUGUAAGAUUUGGAUUCUGCAGUUAAUAACAUCCAUAGUUGAACUUUGUGUCCCCACAGUUGGAAUAUGUUUCUAGGCAAAAGUAGGUGCUGCAGAUGCUAGAGAUUAGAGUGGUGCUGGAAAAGCACAGCAGGUCAGGCAGCAUCCUAGGAGUAGGAAAAUCGAUGCUUCAGGCAAAAGCCCUUCAUCAGGACUGCCAAAGCCCCAUCCUAUGAUGGAUUGAGUGUAACAUUCUGGAUAUAUCAUUGAUUUUUCAGGGCUGCACUGUCCCUUUUCGCUGUCUGUGAAUUUUCACAUUAACUAAGGAACUUACAGCAGGACUCUAUUUGCAAUAAAAUUGCAAGCUUUUUACUUCAAUCCUAAAUUGAAUUUCAAUGCAAAUUCUUCAGUUCAAUAUCUGAAAACUGAUUUAACAUCUACACUUAGUGCUGAUUAAUUCUUACUGAAACCAUUUAUUGAUGUAUAUUUUUCACAGCUGCAACUGAUAUUAUUUUAAAUACACAUCAGUGUUAAUAUUGAUGAAGUUUGGAUGUUUCUGCGUAUGAUC